rnacentral:rRNA from 1 species
GACGAACGCUGGCGGCGUGCUUAACACAUGCCAGUCGAACGGAAAGGCCCUGCUUUUGUGGGGUGCUCGAGUGGCGAACGGGUGAGUAACACGUGAGUAACCUGCCCUUGACUUUGGGAUAACUUCAGGAAACUGGGGCUAAUACCGGAUAGGAGCUCCUGCUGCAUGGUGGGGGUUGGAAAGUUUCGGCGGUUGGGGAUGGACUCGCGGCUUAUCAGCUUGUUGGUGGGGUAGUGGCUUACCAAGGCUUUGACGGGUAGCCGGCCUGAGAGGGUGACCGGCCACAUGGGGACUGAGAGACGGCCCAGACUCCUACGGUAGGCAGCAGUGGGGAAUAUUGCACAAUGGGCGGAAGCCUGAUGCAGCAGCGCCGCGUGCGGGAUGACGGCCUUCGGGUUGUAAACCGCUUUCGCCUGUGACGAAGCGUGAGUGACGGUAAUGGGUAAAGAAGCACCGGCUAACUACGUG